GAGUGUGAGCAUGAUCUGGUUGUGACGUGUCACCCUAUUGCUUGCCAGGCUUGAUUUAGCUGAUCUGGCUAGCUUUGCAGGUGUCUUCUCCCUCACCACUUCAUAUGUAUCCUUCCCAAAGCGCUCACUUGGUUGAAGAGGACAACCUUCCCCAAUAGAAGGAGGACUAGAUUUGGGUCAAGGGUAUCCUAGUAGCUGGGCUCCCCUGCUAGACCCUCUAAACAAGCGCUCAAGAAAACAUCAGCAUCACACACACACACACACACACCACAGCAAAAUGACUAGAGUAAAUUCAUACCUACUG
rnacentral:snRNA from 1 species